CAGCCCUGGCCGACAGAGAGCUGGGUCAGGCCCUGAAGGGGGAGGGGUCUUCACCUCCAGCCCCACCUCCCCCACUCACAGGGGACUCUGGGGAGCUGGGCCCGAGUCACAGGAGGCCAAGGCUGAUGUCAGGGCACGCAUGAGCAAGGGAUCCCGCCUUUCCCCCUCCCAGGACUGGGACCCUCUCCUGGUCCAGAGAAUGGGAUGGGGACCCCAGGCUCGGGGGUCAUUUGUGGUUUAUGAGCAUUGGAGGGAACUCUGGCAAACCGGACUAGGCCUCCUUUUCCUCCCCCUGAGAGACUUGGGAAGAGGGACAUGCUCCUCGCUUGAAGCAGGAAGGAGGGGACGCAGUCUGGGCCUGGCCUGCCUCUGACCAGCAGACUCCCAGAUCUCCUAGUCACUUUCAACCUCCCCCCAGGUUCCAGAGGGACCCCACUCCUGGCCUAGCUGAGGCUGGACACGAAGUCUGCAUCUCCUGGGAAGGAGACCCGUCCCUUGCCUGGCACACCACCCGAGGGAUAAGUCGAGAGGUAAAAAAAACUGAGGCCCAGAGGAAUGAAGGGCUCUACGAGGGAUCAGAUGAGAUGUCAAGAUGCAAUCCCUACGUCUCCCAGAACACUGAUCUGAGCCCAGGCGGCUGACAGUAUGCGCCUGUGUGGGCGGCGACAGAUUCCAUGUGACGCUGUACCCUGUCGGUGUGUUCCUGUGGGCUGAGCGUUCUCUGUGUCUAUGAUCACGCGUGAUGCAGAAUUUGUACAAUUACAUGUUUGCAGUUGGUUAA